rnacentral:rRNA from 1 species
AGGAUGAACGCUGGCGGAGUGCCUAACACAUGCAAGUCGAGCGGCAGCGCGAAGAAUUUAUUCUUUGGCGGCGAGCGGCGGACGGCUGAGUAACGCGUGGGAACAUGCCCCAAAGUGAGGGAUAAGCAUCGGAAACGGUGUCUAAUACCGCAUAUGAUCUUCGGAUUAAAGGAUUUAUCCGCUUUGGGAAUGGCCUGCGUACGAUUAGAUAGUUGGUGAGGUAAAGGCUCACCAAGUCUACGAUCGUUAACUGGUUUGAGAGAUGAUCAGUCAGACUGGAACUGAGACACGGUCCAGACUCCGUACGGGAGGCAGCAGUGAGGAAUCUUCCGACAAUGGACGAAAGUCUGAGUGGAGC